AUUCAAUUCAUUUUCACUCCAAGAAAGUGCUAAGGCAAAAAAGUGCUCUCACUCUCUUCUCCCCUCUCCAUUUUCGUCCCUCCACAUCUCCCCCACUCCCAAGACUCUUCUCCCACCAUUAUCACACUCCAUAGAAGCCCUUGAAGCCCCAAGAGGAGUAUCAAAGCAAGGGAGAGCAUGGGAAAACUAGGGCGUAAAGUUAGAGUGAAGGUUGUGCUUCGAGGGAAUUGGUUCACAGGACGGUACCACCGCUUAAGAUCACCUCUCUUCCACACUGAGGAUCAGGUUGAGCAGUGGCUGAUGGAGAUGAAGUGAAGAGCGGAGCUUUUGUCAUAAGUUAAAUGAAUGAACUCUUGAAUACAUGUCUUCAUACAUGUAAUCAGAUUAUGUUAUUCCGCUGCGUACUCUUAGGUUUUAUGUUCUUUCAGUUAAGCCAGUUUUAUUUAUGAACCUACAAGGCUGUUCGAGUCUUGUGACUAAACAUCAGGUGUAUUAUAAAUUUUCCCUUCUUUAAACAAAUUUUAGUUCGAUCC